ACGGGAGUGGCAAGCGUUAUCCGGAAUUAUUGGGCGUAAAGCGUCCGCAGGCGGCCCUGUAAGUCUGUUGUUAAAGCGUGGAGCUCAACUCCAUUUCAGCGAUGGAAACUACAGGGCUUGAGUGUGGUAGGGGCAGAGGGAAUUCCCGGUGUAGCGGUGAAAUGCGUAGAUAUCGGGAAGAACACCAGUGGCGAAGGCGCUCUGCUGGGCCAUAACUGACGCUCAUGGACGAAAGCCAGGGGAGCGAAAGGG
rnacentral:rRNA from 1 species